UGAAGCACAGAGAGGUUAACACUUUGCUGUUCGUGGAGCAUCUGGAUUUUAAAGGAGCAAAAUUCAAAAGAAAAAAGCUUGAAAAUCCUUCACUGGAAAAACCUGCCCAUUAAAAAAAAAUAAGACCAAAGCUCAAUUCUCACCUGGUUCCAAAAACCAUUUGAAUUCAGCAUAUCAUGUGUUGGAUUUUAGAAUGGAGUAAGCAGAGAAACAGAGGGAAAACAGCAACAUGUGUAAGUGAUCACCAAAAAAAUAGCCCGUUUCCAAUACUGAAAAAAACAUGGCUUGUACAUAGGUCACAGAACAAAUCAGACGAAACCAAAGUGCCAAGUCACAACUUAAAGGAAAAGAAUCCACGAGGGACCUUCGUGAGCAGAUGGAUUAGAAAGGCUAAGUUUCAACUCAUGAAGACUUGAACCUACGCUAUCUGAAAUAGCCAGUCAAUAACAUUAAUAAUAAUCAUAAGACUCUGAAAACUACAGCUGGGGGGAUUAAGCCAAAUGGAGAAGCAAGGGACUGAACAAGAGAAGGGACUUUCCACAGAAUUACUGAAAACAACAAUCUGGUAAUGAGGGAGUUGCUUCUUUCUGCUGGAGUGAAAUUCCUCUACAAUGUUUUUCCUUUGUGGCUGCAUUUUCUAGCAUCAGUAGGAGUACCUUCUGAAGAGAGUAAGUCCAGUUCACUAUUGAAUCUGCAUUCAAAGAUGCCAGUAAGCAGGUCACCAGCUCGAACAGACCCUUCUUGCUCUGUCCCAAGGACAAAGAAGAUGGCUGCUGCGUUCCCCUCUGUGAAGAAUUUGCUGGCCUUUGAAAGAAACGGUCAGUAGAAGAUUCACUGGAUAGUGAAAUUCUUUGUGCCUGGGAUGUGUUCAGUCUGCUUUUCUGCUGCACCAGGAAAGAAGGUCCAGUGUCUUAUUUCAUUCUGGAGCUUUUUGAAACUUUUUACUCUGUACUUUAAUUUUGGCAACCUUGGACUGAUGGGGUUUGUAGAUAUUAAUUAUCAAAUUGUUAUUUAUUAGCUGAUAUUCUUUCAAUUCAAUAAAUAUUUUAAAUCCCUUGUGGUGUCUGUUGAACACGUUACCAGGAAACUGAAAUAAUAUCUUCAGUCUUCCUUUUCUUUCCUCCACAAAAUAGAAAGAAGAUAACUAUACAUAGCUGAUAGUUAUUUUCUCUCAGAAAUUCAAAUAUAUUAUUUUUAAGUGCUUCUGUAAAUAUUUGAACUGAAUGCAAUUUAAAAAAUAAAAAUCUAAAGACCAAUACAAUUUUAUCUCAUAAGAUUUUUAUUUUUGACCUUUAAGUCAAGAAUUAAUAUCUCUAUAUUAGCUGCAAAUGGAUUUAAUUACCUAUAUCUGAUUCCAUGUUAAUAAUAUUAAACCCAACAUAGAAAUAUUGCAAUUAUGGGUGUGGUUUUUACCUAAGUAUUCCCAGGAGCAUUUGGGACCAGGCAGAAUAUGGAAAUGUUAAAGGUUACAGCUCAGGAGCUAAAGGUGCGCCUAUAAUGAACUAAAUCAAAGUUCAAUGAAAUAAAUUCAAGAUAUUUAUUGAUGUUUAUUAGGGACCUUAAUGGAUCCACUUUAUUUACUUGCAGGAUAAUUGGAGUAUAGCAGUGUAAGUAGAAGUUUCAGUAGAAGGAAGCAGCCUAUUGUUAAAGACCAGUUGUUCACUUUGCUGAUGAUUAAACACUGCUCUAAUAUAAAGGCAAAAAAUAUUUGCUGUGUUUUCCUUUUUUCUGUUUAGGCUUAAAGGAAACAUAAGUAGCUGUAGUAUUGUGAUAGAGUAGACACCUAAAGUCAUCAGUUUUAGGUAAAAGGCUAGUGAGGCCACUCCUGAAAUUUUGCGUUGGAGGGGCUACAAAUUACUAUUAUCCUUCUGAUUCCAGUUGUGUGUGUUACAAGUUUAUUUUCUGCAACUUUGAGGACUUGAAAUUUUCCUUAAUGCAUUUGUUCAACUUCUUUCCAAGAAAAUUAUGCUAUUAAUUUAAUUACUAAGAUCUUUAUUUGUAUUUAACUUAUUAAAUAUAUGUGUUAGGAAUUGCUUAGUAGAGUAUUAUUUAUGGUUACAUAAGAAAAACACUGCUAAUAAAUAUAACUAGGAAAGAGGGAAGGCUGCUGGGAUUCAUCACAUACAGCAUAUAGCCAAGGUAUUGUAAAAGCAGUCAUUUAUUAUAUGUGACUGUAUUUACAUUUUUAAUAUUUGUAUUGUCCGGAAGGAUUUUCUUGCAAAAGAGUGGUAAAAGAGGCCAAUAAUCAUUAAUAUAACUAGAUAAGUUCCUUGCAGAAAGGCAGAAAAAUGCUCCAGAAACAUCAUAUGCUAAAUUUUCUAGGAACUGUGGAUAGCUGUGGAUAGCUGGGUUUCAGCCAAUUUUUGACAGCAUAUAAAUAAUUUUGAUAUAUACGAAAGAAACUUUGGAAAAGUUCAGAUGAGCUUUUCCUUGGAGACAUGACUGCACAAAGUUGGGGUGCUGAUUAUAGUUCAUUCAGUGCAAAAUGAUCCCCUAUUCCCAGCUUUAUACUCCAGUAGUAAUUACAUGGGCUCCCAGAAUGGGGCUAAAAAUGAGGCCUCUUUUUAUACAGUAACUUGGCUGUCACAUUUGUCGCAGAGAAAAAAGAAAACCGUUGAUGCGAGUUUGUAACAGGGUUCAAACACUUUUCAGGUUCACCAUUGUUUUUAUUUUCCAAUAGAAUUUCGUUUGACUCUUGCCUACACUUCUAUCUAUUGUUAUCUCUCACUUCUGCUAGCCUCAGCCUGCUUUCUACAUAUACUCCACUCAAAAGAGGCUGAAGCAAUUCUGAAACGUGUUUAUACAAUUAUUCACUGACCACAUCUGUGUCUACACAUGCAGUAUGAAGUAAAGAUUUCUCCCAAUUAUAUUCAGACUCUAACAAAAUGGCAAAUCACUCUGUUAGAAUAACCACUUAAUAACUUCAUUCUGCUCCUAUGUGUCAAUUUAAGUGCAAAUAAAAUUGAUGCCUGAGAAA
rnacentral:lncRNA from 10 species